GAUCCUGUUACAAGCGGGUACAAAUACCAUCCGGGAACCCGGGCAAAAUGUCGUCCAAAUCUUUGCCGCUCCAGACAGAUACUAGGGCAGAAUUGGCUGAAUUGGUGAAGAGGCGAGCUGAAAUUGCGGAGACCCUUGCAAAUCUUGAAAGACAAAUCUACGCAUUUGAGGGAAGCUACCUAGAGGACACCGCCCUCUAUGGAAACAUCAUCCGAGGAUGGGAUCGCUAUCUGACCAAUAAAAACACAAACAGCAAGACGGACAAACGAAACAGGAAAUUCAAAGAAGCAGACCGACUAUUCUCCAAAUCCUCCAUCACAUCACAUGGUUCUCUUGGCUUGUCGGACUCACAACAGCAGCAAGAUAAAAGAGAAGCCCAUGAGAACCAGAGUAGCCAUGACGGCUCUGCCUCCUCGUCCAAGUCCGAGCCCGAGGCAAAGGCAUCUCAGAACGACGGAGAAGCUGACAAGCAUGGCGCCGGCGGCUCCAAUCACGUCAGCAGCAAGUCACAUGGCAAGUCACAUGGUCACAAGAAGAGGAAAAACAAGAGCCGACACAGGUUAGAGGCGCGGAUUAAGAAGAGUAGACACUCAGAAGAUGCGUAAAUUGAGAAACGACUCAAGAUUCAACUUCAUCCACCUAUUCACAAGAUUAAAGCAACGUGUAUGUUCAAACAACCAGCAAAUCCUAUAUGUGCGGAAAAUUGUAAAAAUGUGAAAGCUGAUGGAACAUGAUAACAUUACAGUGAUAACUAUCAUGAGAUUCGAAUACUCAAGUCUCAUUGGCUGUUUUGAUACACGAUUGUCAAGCAAGUGACUGAAAAAUGAAGCCUCAUUGGCUCUCCAAAUUGGUUGUUACACAUGUGACUUGUAAAAUAAAGCCUCAUUGGCUGGCCAAACAAAUGGUUAAGCAUGUGACUUGUCAAAAAAAGCCUCAUUGGCUAUCCUGAUAGGUGGUUGCCAAGCAUGUGACUGGGAAUCAUUUAGCUCAUUGGCCAUCUCAUAUGGGAUUGCUAUCAUGUGACUCAGAACCAUGUACCUCAUUGGUUGUCCUGAAAGUUGGUUGCCAAGGAUGUGACACAGAAUCUUUAUUUCAUUGGCUGUCCUGAUAUGGGGUUGCUAUCAUGUGACUCAGAACCAUGUACUUCAUUGGUUGUCCUGAAAGUUGGUUGCCAAGCAUGUGACUUGAAAUAAUUUAUCUCAAUGGCCAUCCUCACAUGGGGUUGCUAUCAUGUGACUCGGAACCAUGUACCUCAUUGGUUGCAUUUGAAUAGCUUCCCUGUUUAUACACCGGGUAACACCGGGGGAAGUCACAAAACGAGGCUUGUCAAAUGCUGUGGUGUAUUUGCCUAGGCACUCUGGGAAAAUUGAGGUCAAAGGUUAUUUUGGGGCGGGACUUUAAAAUGUGAACGCCCUGGGCAUACUGUCUUCAGCUUCACUUGUAAAUUUAGUUUUAUCACUGUAAACAGAUCUGUAAACAGAUCAACAAUGGCUAAAUCGGAAAAUAUGCUAUGUAUUAUCAAAAACAUGUCCAUCCAAUUGAACACCGUUGAUAAUUGACAAUAUUUGUGUCAUAAAUCUCUCGGCUGUACUCACUUCGUAUUCAAAUUCCCGCCAUCUUUAAUCUUCCUUUCAACGAAAUUGUCCACUGACGUCACACACGGGCAGCCACCAGAGACCAGCUCGCUAGCUGGGGCAGUGGUGGUUGACACCGGGGCAGACACGAGGAUCACAUGAUAGCUAAUCGAACGCUCUCGUGUAGGUUUCACUUACACACGUAAGCUAAUAAAACGCACCCAUUGGUUGUCCUGAUGGGCGGUUGCUGACCAUGUGACUUGGAAAAUCUAGCCUCAUUGGCUGUCCUGCUAGAGCAAGUCCGGGUGACUAGAGGUUGAUUUGUGAUGGAACUUACGCCUGUGCACAAACAGCAACUUGCAGACAUCUCUAGUCAAAUGCUGGACGAAACGUCAUCCAAAACGCCUUGAUCCUGGCUCCCUGCUGUGCAUUAUAAUGCGCGUGGCUGUUGGUUACCAGUGAUGUAACCGUGCCGUGGACUCUGGGUCGGAGCAGUUGACUAGAGUAGCCCGACGUUCGAGUGAAGUUAGUCGAACUAUGUUUGACCACAGUCCUCAUUGGAACUUGCUGUACGUCGCUGGAUAAAGCUGGGUGCGUAGUGUAAACCUCAAACGACUUAAAAGUCAAAAGAGCGAGUAUAAAUUAUGUACUUGGUUGACUUCUAAUAUAGGAAGGGAUAUGCCCACAUACAUGUAAAUUUGGCAAACUGUACCGAGUGUCCCACAAAAUGCAACAGGCCAAAAGUAUUUGAUUUAGACUGAGUAGCGUUUGUUCAUGUGUUAAAAUUUGUUUUGUUAUAUUUUCUUCUUUCUAUGCAAGUACUGUGUAAUCUGUUUAAUACUCUUUUAAGUGUUGUACAAACUUUAAUCGUAAAGACUAGUUUUGAAGGGUGCGGUGUUCGUAUGUGUGUGUGUUUUCAAUAAUGGUAUUUUUUGACCAACCAAGGCCGGAAAACAAAAGGCUCCAAGAUUGUAGACAACACGACUAGAACUUUUAUGGAAAGAGAAAAAUGUUGGGUGU
rnacentral:misc_RNA from 1 species